AAUUGUGUUUAAUAAAGAAAUCUCAUUGCGAUCGUUUGUUGGUUUUGCCGUGAAUCUAACAAUACUUGCUUUACUAUCGUUUUUGCUAUUGUAUAUUGAGAGCGGUGUUGCUCAAUGUAUUCACCUAUACGGCACUGUAACAAACAAAUACUGAAGACAGUUAAAAACUGAUUAAGUGGUAAUACGAAUUAGAGUGUCAUUUUAAAAAUAGUGAUGUGGUGGAUUAUGACCGUAUAAGAUGUAACGAGUCGGUAUUUAAAUUUGG